rnacentral:lncRNA from 10 species
AGAGCCCUGAAGCUCAAGCGGAGCCCGCUGGCCGCAGGGGCCGCACCACGCCCCAGACCCUGGAGUUUCCGGGUGCGCAGACCCUUGCCAUCAGCAGAGGCUGCCGCUGCGCGUCCCCUAGGCGCGGAAGAGGCGGCUGGUGGUCCCUGACGGCAAGGUGAAGUCGAGGCAGUAAUCGGGAACCCAGGUUGGGAGGACAGAAUGGGGAACAGGAAGCUGGGGCGAGGGUGGUCUUGGGGGAGGUGGGGGGCCGCGGAAUUCUAGGUGGCCCCUGCCUCACCUCUGGAAAGAACCGGAAGCCCGGGCCGGGGAGGGUGAAGGGAGUCGCGGACCCGGCUGCUCAGCCGAGGAGGAAACCCGGACCCCAGGCUGAGGGAGGCCGAAGAAGGAACUGGAGGGCCGGGCUGGGAAGGCCUGAAGCGGGUACAGCCUUUAGGCUGGGGAGGGUCGAGGGGAGAACUCGGAGCCUGAGUCGGGCGAGGUUUUGCUCCACUCUGGCUUCUAAGUGUGGGGGCCUCAGGAUGUGACCCGUGGUCGUAAACCUGAGGGUGACUUGGAGUUUUUGUCCGUUUUGCACCAUGAGAAAGGCCCCAGAUGGAAUCUGGCAGGUAGCGGCGGUUCAGUGUGUGUGUGUCUGCCUUAGGGCGUGUUUUACACUGUUGACGAAAAGACUCAGACUCUAAAGUAUUUGAAGAGACUUAUUCUGAGCUAAAUAUGAGUGACCAAUGGCCGGUGGCCCAGCCCUCAGGAGAUCUUGAGAACCUGUGCCCAGGGUGGACGGGAUAUAUGUGGUUUUAUACCUUUUAGGGAAACAUGAGACACCAAUCAAAUACAUGUAAAAUGUACAUUGAUUCCCUCCGGAAAGGCGGGACAGCUGGAAGGUGGCUGGCCUUCCAGGUCAUAGGUAGAUUCAAAGAUUAUUUGAUUGGCAAUGGGUUGAAAGAGUUAUUGACGUAAGACUUAGGAAUGUCUCCAGGUAGCACGCUUCACAGAGAAUAGAUUGUAAAUGUUUCUUUUCAGACUUGGGGUCUUUUCUAUCAGUAAUUCCAAAAUGGAGGAGGGUAUAAUGAAGCAUGUCCGACCCGCCCACCCCCGCCUUUCCAUCAUGGCUUUACUAGUUUUUCAGGUUAGGAAUGCCCUGGCCAAGAGGAGGGGUCCAUUCAAGAUGGUCUGGGUGUGCUUAGGAUUUUAUUUUUGGUUUACAACACCAGCACCACCGGAGUUUGCUGGUGUCCUUUCCAGUCAGUUUCAAAGCAGAGACAGCCAUAGUUCUGAUUUGUGUCACUGUAACUGUCAGUUCCGGAAUUCCAUAUUUCUCCUUUAGUUUACCCUAAUGUGUGUGAGAUUUCAUGUGUAGUUCAUUUUUCUUUUUCUGAACAGCACUCCAUUGUGCAAAUAUACCACAAUUUGUGUAGUCAUUUUUCUGUUGUUGAACAUUUGGCAUAUUUACAGGUUUUAUACAUUACGAAUAAAGCUGGCACGUUUCCAUUUCUCCUGGGCAAAUAUUUAGAAGAAAAGUUGCUGGGUAAUUGGUGGAGACAAGGUUUCGCCACAUUGACUGGGCUGGUCUGGAACUCCUGAGCUCAAGCAACCGGCCCUCCUUGACCUCCCAAAGUGCUAGGAUUACAGGUGUGAACCACCGUGCCCGGCCCUACUUUCUAUCGAAGUAGAAUAGGUAGAUCACAUUAUUAUUAACAGUAUAUGGGAAGAGGGAGGUCCUCCCAUGUUACAUUGUUCUCCCUUCACCUUCUGGGUCAUGUUGCACCACUGUUUCCCUUCUAGUCAUAUCCCAGGGGGCCUUGUCCCAUUUAUACAGCUCUAUUCUAGUGGUCACCAGAGGAAUGGGAGUAAUCUGAUUGAAAGAUAAGACAGAAGAUUGUACUCUCUUUUUUUUUUUUUUGAGACAGAGUCACCCAGGCUGGAAUGCAGUGGCAUUGUCAUGGCUCACCGCAGUCUCAAACUCCUGGGCCCAAGUGAUCCUCCCACUCAGCCUCCUGAGUAGCUGGGACUAGAGGCACAUGCAACCACAUGCAGCUAUUUUUUUUUAAAUUUUCUGUAGAGACAGGGUCUCACUGUGUUGCUCAGUUUGUCUCAAACUCCUGGGCUCAAGUGAUCCUCCUGCCUUGGCCUCACAAAGUACUAGGAUUACAGGCAUGAGUCACCACACUCAGCUGAACUCUACUCUUUAUGUUCAGGAAAGCACUGGAGAAGAGAGAGGACAAGAGAAACAGGUCCGUAGUGACAGGAGCCUAGGAAUAGAGCAGGCCUUCAGUCUUGGUGAAAAAAUAAAUGGUAUUCUAAGCCUUCCUUUGGACAUUAAUUCAGUACUACCCACUCUUUUUCUCUUGUCCAUUCCUCCCUUAUAUUUUUUUUAUAAAAUGAAGAACUCAAUCCCUUAUUUUUUUUUUCUAUCCUUCAAGUGAAGGGCAAGAACAAAGAGUGUGGGGGAGAUUUUUUUUUUUUUUUUUUU